GAUGAACGCUGGCGGCGUGCCUAAUACAUGCAAGUCGAGCGAACAGACGAGGAGCUUGCUCCUCUGACGUUAGCGGCGGACGGGUGAGUAACACGUGGAUAACCUACCUAUAAGACUGGGAUAACUUCGGGAAACCGGAGCUAAUACCGGAUAAUAUAUUGAACCGCAUGGUUCAAUAGUGAAAGACGGUUUUGCUGUCACUUAUAGAUGGAUCCGCGCCGCAUUAGCUAGUUGGUAAGGUAACGGCUUACCAAGGCGACGAUGCGUAGCCGACCUGAGAGGGUGAUCGGCCACACUGGAACUGAGACACGGUCCAGACUCCUACGGGAGGCAGCAGUAGGGAAUCUUCCGCAAUGGGCGAAAGCCUGACGGAGCAACGCCGCGGGAGUGAUGAAGGUCUUCGGAUCGUAAAACGCUGUUAUGAGGGAAGAACAAAUGUGUAAGUAACUAUGCAGGUCUGGACGGUACCUAAUCAGAAAGCCACGGCUAACUACGU
rnacentral:rRNA from 1 species